AAUACAUGCAAGUCGGACGGGAUCCAGGAGCUUGCUCCUGGUGAGAGUGGCGCACGGGUGCGUAACACGUAUGUAACCUACCUUGUUCAGGGGGAUAGCCUCUCGAAAGAGAGAUUAAGACCGCAUAAAAUCACAAUGUGGCAUCACAAAAUGAUCAAAUAUUUAUAGGAACAAGAUGGGCAUGCGGAACAUUAGCUAGUUGGUAAGGUAACGGCUUACCAAGGCUACGAUGUUUAGGGGAUCUGAGAGGAUGACCCCCCACACUGGUACUGAGACACGGACCAGACUCCUACGGGAGGCAGCAGUAAGGAAUAUUGGUCAAUGGGCGGAAGCCUGAACCAGCCAUGCCGCGUGCAGGAAGACGGCCCUAUGGGUUGUAAACUGCUUUUGCAGGGGAAUAAACCUCAUUACGUGUAAUGAGCUGGAUGUACUCUGAGAAUAAGGAUCGGCUAACUCCGUGCCAGCAGCCGCGGUAAUACGGAGGAUCCAAGCGUUAUCCGGAUUUAUUGGGUUUAAAGGGUGCGUAGGUGGCUUUUUAAGUCAGGGGUGAAAGACGGUAGCUUAACUAUCGCAGUGCCUUUGAUACUGAAGAGCUUGAAUGAACUAGAGGUAGGCGGAAUGUGACAAGUAGCGGUGAAAUGCAUAGAUAUGUCACAGAACACCAAUUGCGAAGGCAGCUUACUAUGGUUUUAUUGACACUGAGGCACGAAAGCGUGGGGAUCAAACAGGAUUAGAUACCCUGGUAGUCCACGCCCUAAACGAUGAAUACUCGAUGUUGGCGAUAUACGGUCAGCGUCUAAGCGAAAGCGUUAAGUAUUCCACCUGGGGAGUACGCCCGCAAGGGUGAAACUCAAAGGAAUUGACGGGG
rnacentral:rRNA from 1 species